UACGGAGGGUGCAAACGUUGCUCGGAAUCACUGGGCGUAAAGCGCACGUAGGCGGCCCGAAAAGUCGGAUGUGAAAGCCCUGGGCUCAACCUAGGAAGUGCAUUCGAAACUGCCGGGCUUGAGUACGGGAGAGGGUUGCGGAAUUCCUGGUGUAGCGGUGGAAUGCGCAGAUAUCAGGAGGAACACCAAUAGCGAAGGCAGCUCGCUGGGACGGUACUGACGCUGAGGCGCGAAAGCGUGGGGAGCAAACAGG
rnacentral:rRNA from 1 species